rnacentral:lncRNA from 1 species
CUUCAAUAAUCACAGUUCUUCAAUUACAAAUUACCCUAAAAAUUUCUCAUACGUUUUCUUCCUUCGGUGUGGUUUGAGUCGGGACAUAGGCUUAUAUAUUGUUUGGAUGUCGUGGAUCCAAGACACGACUUGGAUCUCGUGUCCUUAGUCCACGAGAAUAGCAUGGAAUUCGUGUACGGGGUCCACGAGAUUGCCAUGAAACUCGUGUCCCGGUGCACGACUUAUAGAAGCUUGACACCGUGUAAGGAAAUCGUGGAUGGGAUCCACGACAUUGGUGGAAAAUCGCAUUUCCCAUCCACGACCUU